UAUCCGGAUUUAUUGGGCGUAAAGGGCUCGUAGGCGGCUCGUCGCGUCCGGUGUGAAAGUCCAUCGCUUAACGGUGGAUCUGCGCCGGGUACGGGCGGGCUGGAGUGCGGUAGGGGAGACUGGAAUUCCCGGUGUAACGGUGGAAUGUGUAGAUAUCGGGAAGAACACCGAUGGCGAAGGCAGGUCUCUGGGCCGUCACUGACGCUGAGGAGCGAAAGCGUGGGGAGCGAACAGGAUUAGAUACCCUGGUAGUCCACGCCGUAAACGGUGGACGCUGGAUGUGGGGCACGUUCCACGUGUUCCGUGUCGGAGCUAACGCGUUAAGCGUCCCGCCUGGGGAGUACGGCCGCAAGGCUAAAACUCAAAGAAAUUGACGGGGGCCCGCACAAGCGGCGGAGCAUGCGGAUUAAUUCGAUGCAACGCGAAGAACCUUACCUGGGCUUGACAUGUUCCCGACGACGCCAGAGAUGGCGUU
rnacentral:rRNA from 1 species